rnacentral:rRNA from 1 species
AAGAUGGCAUCAUGAGUCCGCAUGUUCACAUGAUUAAAGGUAUUCCGGUAGACGAUGGGGAUGCGUUCCAUUAGAUAGUAGGCGGGGUAACGGCCCACCUAGUCUUCGAUGGAUAGGGGUUCUGAGAGGAAGGUCCCCCACAUUGGAACUGAGACACGGUCCAAACUCCUACGGGAGGCAGCAGUGAGGAAUAUUGGUCAAUGGGCGAGAGCCUGAACCAGCCAAGUAGCGUGAAGGAUGACUGCCCUAUGGGUUGUAAACUUCUUUUAUAAAGGAAUAAAGUCGGGUAUGGAUACCCGUUUGCAUGUACUUUAUGAAUAAGGAUCGGCUAACUCCGUGCCAGCAGCCGCGGUAAUACGGAGGAUCCGAGCGUUAUCCGGAUUUAUUGGGUUUAAAGGGAGCGUAGAUGGAUGUUUAAGUCAGUUGUGAAAGUUUGCGGCUCAACCGUAAAAUUGCAGUUGAUACUGGAUAUCUUGAGUGCAGUUGAGGCAGGCGGAAUUCGUGGUGUAGCGGUGAAAUGCUUAGAUAUCACGAAGAACUCCGAUUGCGAAGGCAGCCUGCUAAGCUGCAACUGAC